GACGAACGCUGGCGGCGUGCCUAAUACAUGCAAGUCGAACGCAGUGGGGACGGGUGAGUAACACGUGGGUAACCUCCCAUCAGAGGGGAUAACACUUGGAAACAGGUGCUAAACCGAUACUGAUGGAUGGACCCGCGGUGCAUUAGCUAGUGGGUGAGGUAACGGCUCAACAAGGCCACGAUGAAUAGCCGACCGGAGAGUGUGACCGUACAAACUGGGACUGAGACACGGCCCAGACUCCGACGGUAGGCAGCAGUAGUGAAUCUGCGGCAAUUGACGAAAGUCUGACCGAGCAACGCCGCGUGAGUGAAGAAGUUUUUCGGAGCGUAAAACUCUGUUGUUAGUGAAGCGGUAUCUAACCAGAAAGCCACGGCUAACUACGUGCCAGCAGCCGCGGUAAUAC
rnacentral:rRNA from 1 species